rnacentral:rRNA from 1 species
GAUGAACGCUGGCGGCGUGCCUAAUACAUGCAAGUCGAGCGAACAGACGAGGAGCUUGCUCCUCUGACGUUAGCGGCGGACGGGUGAGUAACACGUGGAUAACCUACCUAUAAGACUGGGAUAACUUCGGGAAACCGGAGCUAAUACCGGAUAAUAUAUUGAACCGCAUGGUUCAAUAGUGAAAGACGGUUUUGCUGUCACUUAUAGAUGGAUCCGCGCCGCAUUAGCUAGUUGGUAAGGUAACGGCUUACCAAGGCAACGAUGCGUAGCCGACCUGAGAGGGUGAUCGGCCACACUGGAACUGAGACACGGUCCAGACUCCUACGGGAGGCAGCAGUAGGGGAUCUUCCGCAAUGGGCGAAAGCCUGACGGAGCAACGCCGCGUGAGUGAUGAAGGUCUUCGGAUCGUAAAACUCUGUUAUUAGGGAAGAACAAAUGUGUAAGUAACUAUGCACGUCUUGACGGUACCUAAUCAGAAAGCCACGGCUAACUACGU